AGGUACAGACAACAGAGGAAUGGAUGUGAUUCAUGGAUCACUGAAGCAUAAUUGCCAUAGCCUGUCACCUGGCAGAGGAACCACAAAGUUAUAAAAAGGAUAAUGAACCACCCUCAGCAGGGUAGAAGGGUACAAACAGACCUGGAGGGAAGAAUGAGCUUCCAGCAAAUCUCAGCUUGAAUGCACUCAGCUGCCAAGAUCCUCAUCUUCUUGUUCUCUACCCUGCCCCACACUCUGCUAGCACAGGAAAAUGGCCGACUAGGUGAAGGCAAAAAAAUUCAGGCCAUGCCCCAAGAAACAGAAGCCCAAAUCACCUCUGAACUGGAAGCCAUGGACUGCUGGUUAGACUGGUGCUGA
rnacentral:lncRNA from 1 species